rnacentral:rRNA from 1 species
UAAGGAAUAGCCACUGGAAACGGUGAGUAAUACCUUAUACGCCCUUCGGGGAAAGAUUUAUCGCCGAGAGAUCGCCCGCGUUAGAUUAGGUAGUUGGUGGGGUAACGGCCUACCAAGCCUACGAUCUAUAGCUGGUUUGAGAGGAUGAUCAGCAACACUGGGACUGAGACACGGCCCAGACUCCUACGGGAGGCAGCAGUGGGGAAUCUUAGACAAUGGGCGCAAGUGAUCUAGCCAUGCCGCGUGAGUGACGAAGGCCUUAGGGUCGUAAAGCUCUUUCGCCAGGGAUGAUAAUGACAGUACCUGGUAAAGAAACCCCGGCUAACUCCGUGCCAGCAGCCGCGGUAAUACGGAGGGGGUUAGCGUUGUUCGGAAUUACUGGGCGUAAAGCGCGCGUAGGGGAUUGGAAAGUUGGGGGUGAAAUCCCGGGGCUCAACCCCGAACUGCCUCCAAAACUAUCAGUCUAGAGUUCGAGAGAGGUGAGUGGAAUUCCAAGUGUAGAGGUGAAAUUCGUAGAUAUUUGGAGGAACACCAGUGGUGAAGGCGGCUCACUGGCUCGAUACUGACGCUGAGGUACGAAAGUGUGGGGAGCAAACAGGAUUAGAUACCCUGGUAGUCCACACCGUAAACGAUGAAUGCCAGACGUCGGGGGGCUUGCCUUCGGUGUCACACCUAACGGAUUAAGCAUUCCGCCUGGGGAGUACGGUCGCAAGAUUAAAACUCAAAGGAAUUGACGGGGGCCCG